rnacentral:rRNA from 1 species
UUCGCAAUGCCCGAAAGGGUGACACAGCAACGCCGCGUGGGGGACGAAGGCCUUCGGGUCGUAAACCCCUGUGAGGUGGGAAGAACAGCGGAGGUGCAAAUAGCGCUUUCGCCUGACGUUACCACCAGAGGAAGCACUGGCUAACUCCGUGCCAGCAGCUGCGGUAAUACGGAGAGUGCAAGCGUUGUUCGGAUUUACUGGGCGUAAAGGGCGCGUAGGCGGCCCGUUAAGUUCGGGGUGGAAUCCCAUUGCUCACCAGUGGAAUUGCCUCGGAUACUGGCGGGCUUGAGCAUGUGAGAGGUCAGUGGAACUCUGGGUGGAGCGGUGAAAUGCGUAGAUAUCCAGAGGAACACCGGAGGCGAAGGCGACUGACUGGCGCAUUGCUGACGCUGAGGCGCGAAAGCCAGGGGAGCAAACGGGAUUAGAUACCCCGGUAGUCCUAGCCGUAAACGAUGGGCACUAAGUAGAGGGGUUUU